rnacentral:rRNA from 1 species
CAAAGGUUUGGUCCUGACCUUGGAGUCAGUUAUUACUUAGUAUACACAUGCAAGUAUCCGCCCCCCUGUGAAAACGCCCUUUUAACCCUUAUAGGGACAAGGAGCUGGUAUCAGGCACGAUAAUCCGCCCAAGACACCUAGCUACGCCACACCCACAAGGGACCUCAGCAGUGAUUAACAUUGAGCAUUAGCGAAAGCUUGACUCAGUUAAAGUAAACAGAGCCGGCUAAUCUGGUGCCAGCCGCCGCGGUUACACCACGUGGCUCAAAUUGACCCCAUUCGGCGUAAAGCGUGAUUAAAGUUAAACAUCACUAGAAUUAAACUAAAACUAAGCUGUGACACGCUUGUUUAUAAGAAAUACAAAAACGAAAGUUAUUCUAACACAAUCGACUUGAACUCACGACAGCUGGGAAACAAACUGGGAUUAGAUACCCCACUAUGCCCAGCCGUAAACUUUUACUUACAUUCAAUCGCCAGGGAACUACGAGCUAAGCUUAAAACCCAAAGGACUUGACGGUACCCCAUAUCCCCCUAGAGGAGCCUGUCCUAUAAUCGAUAACCCACGUUAAACCUCACCAUUUUUAGUUAAUCAGCCUGUAUACCUCCGUCGUCAGCUUACCACGUGAGCGUUAAUUAGUGAGCCUAAUGUUUUUCACCAAUACGUCAGG